rfam:Triticum aestivum genome assembly, contig: Triticum_aestivum_CS42_TGACv1_scaffold_020927_1AS
CCCUCAAUAGCUCAGUUCGAUAGAGCGAUCAGUUGUUAACUGAUUGGUCGUAGGUUCGAAUCCUACUUGGGGAG